rnacentral:rRNA from 1 species
AAUCGAAGCAGUGAACUUAAGCCCCAGUAAACGGCGGCCGUAACUAUAACGGUCCUAAGGUAGCGAAAUUCCUUGUCGGGUAAGUUCCGACCCGCACGAAAGGCGUAACGAUUUGGGCACUGUCUCAACAACAGACUCGGUGAAAUUGUAAUUCCGGUGAAGAUGCCGGAUACCUGCGACAGGACGGAAAGACCCCAUGGAGCUUUACUGUAGCUUGACAUUGGGUCUUGGUACUACAUGUACAGGAUAGGUGGGAGGCUUUGAAACCAGGACGCCAGUUUUGGCGGAGCCAUCCUUGGGAUACCACCCUUGUAGUACUGGGACUCUAACCAUAGGCCAUGAAUCUGGUCUUGGGACACUGUCAGGUGGGCAGUUUGACUGGGGCGGUCGCCUCCCAAAAGGUAACGGAGGCGCUCAAAGGUUCUCUCAGUACGGUCGGAAAUCGUACGUAGAGUGUAAAGGCAAAAGAGAGCUUGAUUGCAAGACAUACAGGUCGAGCAAGGAUGAAAAUCGGACUUAGUGAUCCGGUGGUUCUGCGUGGAAGGGCCAUCGCUCAACGGAUAAAAGCUACCCUGGGGAUAACAGGCUUAUCUCCCCCAAGAGUCCACAUCGACGGGGAGGUUUGGCACCUCGAUGUCGGCUCAUCACAUCCUGGGGCUGUAGUAGGUCCCAAGGGUUGGGCUGUUCGCCCAUUAAAGUGGUACGCGAGCUGGGUUCAGAACGUCGUGAGACAGUUCGGUCCCUAUCCGUCGCAGGCGUAGGAAAUUUGAGAAGACCUGUCCUUAGUACGAGAGGACCGGGAUGGACGUACCUCUGGUGUACCAGUUGUUCUGCCAAGGGCAUGGCUGGGUAGCUAUGUACGGAAUGGAUAAGCGCUGAAAGCAUCUAAGCGCGAAGCCAACUUCAAGAUAAGAUUUCCCACCG